GGAAACCGAGUCUUAACCGGGCGUUAAGUUGCAGGGUAUAGACCCGAAACCCGGUGAUCUAGCCAUGGGCAGGUUGAAGGUUGGGUAACACUAACUGGAGGACCGAACCGACUAAUGUUGAAAAAUUAGCGGAUGACCUGUGGCUGGGGGUGAAAGGCCAAUCAAACCGGGAGAUAGCUGGUUCUCCCCGAAAGCUAUUUAGGUAGCGCCUCGUGAACUCAUCUCCGGGGGUAGAGCACUGUUUCGGCUAGGGGGCCAUCCCGGCUUACCAACCCGAUGCAAACUGCGAAUACCGGAGAAUGUUAUCACGGGAGACACACGGCGGGUGCUAACGUCCGUCGUGAAGAGGGAAACAACCCAGACCGCCAGCUAAGGUCCCAAAGUCAUGGUUAAGUGGGAAACGAUGUGGGAAGGCCCAGACAGCCAGGAUGUUGGCUUAGAAGCAGCCAUCAUUUAAAGAAAGCGUAAUAGCUCACUGGUCGAGUCGGCCUGCGCGGAAGAUGUAACGGGGCUAAACCAUGCACCGAAGCUGCGGCAGCGAC
rnacentral:rRNA from 1 species